CACUAUGUUGGCCAGGCUGGUCUCGAACUACUGACCUCAGGCCAUCCUUGUGCCUCGGCCUCCCAAAUUGCUGGGAUUACAAGUGUGAGCCACCACACCUGGCCUGUAUUUUAAAAGGAGGUUAAUCCACAUGGUAUUAAUAUAAUUUACUUAUCAUACACAUUUUUUCAUAUGAUUGUUGAUUGAUUUCUAUGACUCUUAACCUGUGUUUUUAAACCAACUGACAAAAUAACAGUGAGAACACAACUGAACCAACUCAAGUUACAUGUACUAGAAUUCCUGGUUAAAUGUGUUCAUUCUUUUAACACAACUCUUUAAUAACUGGAGAAAAUGAAAUGGACAGUAAAUACCUUAAGAUGUUUUGCUCAGACAUGUGAAUUACAUCCAGCUCAAUGGAAGUUGGGAUCAUAACAUGGGGUUAUGGGGGUGGGACACAAAAGUUAUAAGGUUGUAAAGAAGAACAAAUUCUGGAAGGCCAGGAUCCUUGAGUUUAAAAACAAAAUGACCAGUUGUACUACUUGUCAUCUCCCCAGGAAUACCUUUAUUUUACCCAGAUAAAAUUAACAAAUUAGCAUGAGUAUGCAAUUUUCUGAUAUAACAUUCUCAAAUGUGGAGAAGUGAUGAAGUUUUAUUUUAGCAAGUAUGCUACUAAUCUAGGUUAAGUAAGUUAGGUGUUUUUUUCUUAUUUACUGCAAGAUUGAUCCAUGAACAAAUUCCACUAUUUUGUGAAGUUCUAUCGAAGAGCAGAUCUGUUUAGAAAAUCUUGUCAUUGUAAGUCAUGAAGGCUUUCAAAGUGCAAUUGCGGA
rnacentral:lncRNA from 1 species